rnacentral:lncRNA from 1 species
ACUCCCAUCCUCGUCUGCCUCAUGGCCGCGGUCCUAGCCAUGGAUGAUGCCAUUGCGCCGUACUCCCUACUUACCCCUGCAUGACAACCGCGCUACUUUGCCGCUAUGCAAUCAGAUGCUUGUCUCCAUCCUUGUCAGUCCACAGGCAUUGCUCAUAUUUUUGUCCCUAAAAAAUAUUGGAGAGAUAUGCUAAUUUCCUGAAGUUGAAUGUUCUCUUUGAGCACCUCAGUGAUUAAAGAUUAGAUGGAUUUUCCCCUAGGUACAUUGUCAUGUAAGCAAAUUUCCUCAAAGGUGUUUCGAAUUAGUUUGCCGAAUUGCUGAUUGUACCGCUUGAAUGCAGCUAGGAAUAUAAACCAAGUGAUGAUGGCUACCUUUUGGUUCUUAUAAUUGAGUCACGAGCACUUGUAUUGCAUUGUUUUUAUAGUUCACGAGGUUGACUAAUUUGUGAGGCAGUGGUAGUGCAAACAUCAUCAUCUUUUUUUGGUUGACAGUACGAAAUAGUGGCAUCUUGAUGUUGAAGCAAGAUUGUUUACAAGACAACAUGUGACACCAUCUUCAUUGCCCUUUUUAAUCUCAGGAAUGAAGGUUUAAUGCCUGGACUAUCAUGCUGUCUACUUGGUUUCAGCUGUACAUAUCUUAAUACUUGACCUUCAGUGAGGACUCGUUUCUUAGGAGAAAUAGUUGGAGAGCAACAAUUGAUUGGUAAGUCUUGCUUGCUAUUAGUUGCAUAAUUAAUAUUGAAAUUCGUUAGUUUGCUUCAAGGUUACAAAGCCAGCAAUGAAUAAGACUAUCAUUAUUAGGAUUGAAGGAUGGCUCAAUGUUGUUGAUAGUAGUAAGAAACACUUGCAAAUGUAUGUCUCGCCUAUUUAAAUGUGUGCUCUAAAAAUAAAUGUACACAACUGUCGCAAUAUUGUUUAGUACAAUAUUUGAAUUAGAAGUAGUAGUUUUAUGUUUUUGUUUAGUUUUAUAGUAUCUCAGUUAUGAAAUAAAUCCAAGCCUUCCUCCAAAUAGGUUUUUUUGCCUUGAUUUUAUAUUUAAUUAUUUUUUGUAUUUUAUAAUAUUCAAACAAAAUGGUUUGUAGAGUCAAUGUUCUCUGACUUAGGUAGCUUUAAUUUAAUGCACUGACGAAGCGUUUUACCUGAGACGAGUGCUGGGAGAGGCUGAUUAGGAUUGCAACGAGGGGGAGACGUCAAUGCUGCCGCUGGCGACCGUUACCGCGACCAUGGCUGUGGGAGUGAGGCGCCGGCGACCAUGGCAUCGACCGUGUUGGCCCAUGGUGUUUCUGACUUUCCACGCUCCGUUCCAGGUAGCUGCCAUUCCGAUUGAUCCCCUCCAGGUGAGUGAGCAGCUUACACUCAACCGAUGCAGGCAUCCAAAGGUUCGACUAGGUGGCUAGGAACUCAGCUGGGCUCACUUCCAUUUGCAUAAGUUUCUGCAACAUCGGAUACUCCGGGAAGUUCAUGCAUGUUUGUUUUCUGAUAUGGUUUUUCUCAUAAUGCAGGGCACAAAGAUAGGUCUCCUUUUAGUUACCAUAGAUUUUAGUUUUUUUCCUAUUUACUGUCUUCUCCACUUUCUUGUCAGAUUAAGCAACUAACAAAUGAAUUUGUGCACAGUUAUACCAUUUUUGCACUCAUUUAUGGGGCCAUCUAUGUUGAGUAUGUGUGUUCUGCUAUUCUGCAACUUAAAUCAUUAGGUAGUGAGAAGAUGCGAUAGUUUGAACCUCCUCCACUUCUUCUAUACAAGAUUGGUCAUUUUCCAAAGGGAUGGAAGUAGCUGUUUAGAGGAUCCACUCACAUGAG